ACAAAGGCUCUGCCUUUAUGAAUUAAGACCUCUGCAGCGGGGCUGGGGAUUUAGCUCAGUGGUAGAGCGCUUACCUAGGAAGCGCAAGGCCCUGGGUUCGGUCCCCAGCUCCAAAAAAAAAAAAAAAAAAAAAAAAAAAAAAGACCUCUGCAGAAGUGGGUUUAUUAAAUAGAAAAAGUUUCUCUUCUGCCUUCUGAUUCUUCUGCCUUCUGAUGUGUUCUGACCCAACAUGGGAUCCAUGGCCAUUCACUGGAUGCUUCUAGAACAGUGAGAAAGAAACUUCUGUUCUCUAUAACAUAUACAGCUUCUAGUGCUCUGUUACAGUAGCACAAGACAGGACUCCACGCCUCUCGUUGCAUUGUAGAAUAAGGUAGGGGUAGAGGAUAUUGUUGAGACCAUCUUAGGGAGGACAAAAAAAGGACAGAGGUGCAGUCAAAUGUCAUCACUUAUGAGAAUUAGAUGUGAUGAUAAUCACUUGAUGCUCAGAGCCAGAAAUGGGGCAUGGAAGAAAUUCAAUAAAACUCUCUCCCUGCUUUGAUAUCCUUUCUUCAGCUAUUUUUAAUAUCAGGCCUUCUGCCGACCAUCAAGAAACUCCUGGCUCUGUGGUCUCUAGCAGCUUUUGGAGAAGCCUUGUUCUAUGCUCUCCCUGCAGGUGGUAAGCCCUGCCUUACCCACCCACAGCUCCUCCAUGUUUUAGGGGACCCCGGCAAGGGCUAAGGUGGUAUGCCCCAGUCCCAGCUUCGGUUGUUGACCUCAGGGAUUGAAACUGAGGGUUGAAGAGUUCAAAGCCUGCAUAGUUCAGGAAUGUCCCUGAACCCCAAAGAGUAACUCGAGAAAUUGUUUGUAUCAGCAAGUGAUGACUUAACUCUUGGCAAGGCCAGCAAACUGCCCCUCUUCCUGUUUCCAGAGGCCGUCCAAAGAAAAGAAACCGUCUGGGCUUUCUCAGCUCUGUGGUUGACUGUAGACCCUCACCCCAGGCUGAGGUCUCGGCUCCCAGGAGCAGGAGGAGGGAACAUUCACCGAGCACAGCCCGGACUGUUUGGGUUUCUCAAGCCAACCAGAGGGGCCUGGGUAUUAACUUUUGAGACCACCAACAGCUAGGAGGGGCUCUUGACCCUGAUCCCUGAAUCAAGCAGGACCAGGCUCCUCCAUACCCUGCACCCCACUGGUCUUUUUCUACCUCCUGGUCUUUGCGCAUGUGCUGAGCCUCUGCGCAUGUGCUGAUCCUCUGCCCUGGACCAACGUCCCACUCAGGACUAUACCUAAACGUGGAGGACAGAGCUCCGCCUUCGUCUCACCGAGUGCUUCUUGCUAUCAGCAGCUCCCGCACUUCCUCCCUUCACUCACUUCAGAGGGAAAAGAGGGAGUUUCCCCCUAUGCUUAAGGGACCAAGAAACAAGUUCGGAAGCUAUUUUUCUCAUCGUGGGACCAAAUAAAUACCCAACAAGAAGUGACUUACGGGAGAAAGUGUUUGUUUUGGCUCACUAUGGGAGCUGUCGCCCAUUACAAGGAGAAAGGGCGGCUGGCGACUGUGGCGGCUGGAGCUUGAGGCUGACCGUUCACAUCUUGGUAAACCAGGAGCCAGAGUGGGGCUGUAAACUGCAAGCUCUUAUCCUCAAGAUCUACUUCUUCCAGAACCAUUAAUCCUCCCUCACAAACGUUCCUAACCCUUCAGGUGAGCAGCAGGAAGUGGACCAAAUUGUUCAAACACAUGAGCCCAUCGUUUAAACCAUGCCAUUGAGGUCAGUCUGUCACUGGGUUAAAUAGUAAACUUGGCUCAGAGUUUUCACUAAAGAACACACUCGUCGUAAACUGUGUGUUAUUCUCUGCUGACUGGAACGCAUCUCAUCCACUCUGCCUACGUUUAUUUUUAUUUAUUUGAGACAAGGUCUUAUUGUAACCCUGUCUGACCUUGAAGGCCUGAUCCUCCUGCCUCUGCCACCUGAGUGCUGGGACUCCAGUGUGCACCACCGUGCCUGGUUUAUGUGGUGCUGGGGGUGAGACUCGUGGCUUCCUGCAUCCUGGACAAGUGCUUUGCUCACUGAGCAACAUCCCCAGAUCCCCUUGCCUGUAUUUAUGUUGUCUGACUCGCAAAUACCAUAGAGUUUUCACCUGUCUAGAGAGGCCAGAAUGUGACCCUUGGCUGCGUGCUCUGCUGUGUGUUGACCCUCCAGCGGCUCUUUCUCUUGGGGCGCUAUUAAAACAGGAUAGCUUCUGAUCAUAACUUUA